rnacentral:rRNA from 1 species
AUUGAACGCUGGCGGAAUGCUUUACACAUGCAAGUCGAACGGUAGAGGGGGCAACCCCUUGAGAGUGGCGAACGGGUGAGUAAUAUAUCGGAACGUGCCCAGUCGUGGGGAUAACGUAGCGAAAGUUACGCUAAUACCGCAUACGAUCUAAGGAUGAAAGCGGGGGAUCGCAAGACCUCGCGCGAUUGGAGCGGCCGAUAUCAGAUUAGGUAGUUGGUGAGGUAAAGGCUCACCAAGCCAACGAUCUGUAGCUGGUCUGAGAGGACGACCAGCCACACUGGGACUGAGACACGGCCCAGACUCCUACGGGAGGCAGCAGUGGGGAAUUUUGGACAAUGGGCGCAAGCCUGAUCCAGCAAUGCCGCGUGCAGGAUGAAGGCCUCGGUU